UACGGAGGGUACGAACGUUAAUCGGAAUUACUGGGCGUAAAGCGCGCGUAGGCGGUUUGAUAAGUGGGAUGUGAAAGCCCCGGGCUUAACCUGGGAACUGCAUUCCAAACUGUCAGACUAGAGUAUGGUAGAGGCUGGUAGAAUUUCCUGUGUAGCGGUGAAAUGCGUAGAUAUAGGAAGGAAUACCGAUGCGAAGGCAGCCAGCUGACCAAUACGUGAAUG
rnacentral:rRNA from 1 species